rnacentral:rRNA from 1 species
GAUGAACGCUGGCGGCGUGCUUAACACAUGCAAGUCGAACGAUGAAGCCCAGCUUGCUGGGUGGUUUAGUGGCGAACGGGUGAGUAACACGUGAGUAACCUGCCCUUGACUCUGGGAUAAGCCCGGGAAACUGGGUCUAAUACCGGAUAGGAGCGCCUGUCGCAUGCCGGGUGCUGGAAAGAAUUUUCGGUCAUGGAUGGACUCGCGGCCUAUCAGCUUGUUGGUGGGGUAUUGGCUCACCAAGGCGACGACGGGUAGCCGGCCUGGGAGGGUGACCGGCCCCACUGGGACUGCGACACGGCCCAGACUCCUACGGGAGGCAGCGGUGGGGAAUAUUGCACAAUGGGCGGAAGCCUGAUGCAGCGACGCCGCGUGAGGGAUGACGGCCUUCGGGUUGUAAACCUCUUUCAGUAGGGAAGAAGCGAAAGUGACGGUACCUGCAGAAGAAGCACCGGCUAACUACGUG